rnacentral:tRNA from 1 species
GGCGCUGUAGCGCAGCGGGUUAAUGCUCUGGCCUGAAGCGCCAGCAUCCCAUACGGGCGUCGGUUCUAGUCCCACCUGCUCCU